UGGACCUACGGGACGCAGCAGUGAGGAAUAUUGGUCAAUGGGCGGGAGCCUGAACCAGCCAAGCCGCGUGAGGGAAGAAGGUACAGCGUAUCGUAAACCUCUUUUGUCAGGGAACAAAGGCGGGGACUAGUCCCCGGAUGAGGGUACCUGAAGAAAAAGCAUCGGCUAACUCCGUGCCAGCAGCCGCGGUAAUACGGAGGAUGCGAGCGUUAUCCGGAUUUAUUGGGUUUAAAGGGUGCGUAGGCGGAUUUUUAAGUCAGCGGUAAAAUGUCCGGGCUCAACCCGGGCCGGCCGUUGAAACUGGG
rnacentral:rRNA from 1 species